GAUGAACGCUGGCGGCGUGCCUAAUACAUGCAAGUCGAACGCUGGAAAUCUAGCUUGCUAGAUUGAAGGAGUGGCGAACGGGUGAGUAAUACAUAAGCAACCUACCCACGAAGACUGGGAUAAUCUCUGGAAACGGGGACUAAUACCGGAUAGGUAAUCGGAAGGCAUCUUCUGAUUAUUAAAGGUUAAAAACACUGGUGGAUGGGCUUAUGGCGCAUUAGUUAGUUGGUGAGGUAACGGCCCACCAAGACGAUGAUGCGUAGCCGGCCUGAGAGGGUGAACGGCCACAUUGGGACUGAGACACGGCCCAGACUCCUACGGGAGGCAGCAGUAGGGAAUUUUCGGCAAUGGGGGAAACCCUGACCGAGCAACGCCGCGUGAGUGAUGACGGCCUUCGGGUUGUAAAGCUCUGUUGUAAGGGAAGAACGGUAGAUAGAGAAUAUCUAAAUGACGGUACCUUGCCAGAAAGCCACGGCUAACUACGUG
rnacentral:rRNA from 1 species